AUGGCGGAAGAUCAGCUCCCCAUCCUCCACGCUGCAGGUCAGGAACUUGUUGCAGGCAAUGUCCAGGAGGGGCAGGCGGUCACGGCAGAAGCGGUCCCCCAGGGAGCCUUUGGGGGCCAGCACCAGAAUGGCAUAGUGCUGAAGAAGACCCCGUGGAGCAUGCCGCUGGUUGGGGAGCCAUGGCUGCCGCUGUUGUCCUUCAGUGCUCUUCCCUCUGCCUGGACUGCCUUUCCCUGGACCUCUCUUCACCUGGCCCAGCAAACUCCUAAUCAUCCUUCCAGGCCCAGCACAGGUGUCCCCUCCUCUCCAAAAUCUUCAUCAGGAACAUCAGGCACUUGUAUUCAACAAAACUUUGCCUACUACGUGCAGGUACUGAAUUUUACCCAACAAUCACACGUACUUCUUACAUUCCGUCUGUCUGUACUGUCCCGCUGAUAGACUCUGAGGUUUUCAAGAGGGGGGACUCUGCCCUUUAUUCAUCUUUACAUCCUGGCACAUAUGGGUGCUUUCUCUCUCUUGCGUGCUUGCUGAGAAAGGAGCUGGAACUGGGCCAGUGUGCUCACCACUCACCUUGCUGCCUCUCUUCUUUAGUACAAAAACCAAAGACCCCAUUAGCUCCCUGCCAUGCUGGGGUAGGGUGGGAGCACCCCACCCCCAGCUGAAUGCAAUGACAAAGACAGUAAGACUAACAGGUUGCCCUAGCCCAGCCUUAGAAGGACAUGGACUUGGGGCGGUGUCAGCAGGCCUGGGGAGGGUGGGCAGCCCCAGACCCGGCUUCACCCUUGCCAGGUCCUGGAUGUCCCAGGUGACUAGUGACUUACUGGCUCUCUGCGCCUCAGGCUCCCCAUCUGUAGGCUGAAAGGGUUGGACCAGAUCAUCAAUUGGAUCAAAUAUUUUUGGACUACAGAGCCCCUCUCUUUCUUCCCCAAAAGAUAUUAUACAUAGGCAGUUGAUAAGCAGUGAAAUUGAAGCUGCUCCAGUUGAUCGAUAGAUGUGGGGCCCACCGAGCCUUACCCUAAUUUCCUCAACAACCCCUCAAUACCCCCCUAAAAUGCCCUGUGACACCUCCCUGGAGUCUCCAGCCUCCGCAGCACACAGUUUGAAAACUAGGACCCUUCAUGCACAGAAUCCUCUCACCCUGUGCUCCCCUCACCACCUCCCCCUGGGACCCAGGGCCUGAACUGGAGAGACAGCUGACCCUUGGCAUUAGAAGCCAGUGAAAGGAACUGUCCCAAAGGAGGAGCAAACCCAAGAUCUUGUUCACCCAGGCCAGUUCGCAUGGUUCCCCCAGGCAUCCCCAUCCUGAGAGCUCUCUCCUCCCCUGGAGCCCAAUCCCCAGCAGCCAGCCAUCCCCCCAGAGCCAGCCUGUGAUAAGAGGCCAUAGGGACUCCAUAGGAGGGUCUGGCAAAGACAAGGUGGGCGUGACAUCAGACAGCCAGGGCUGUCCAGGCAAAGCAGAGCCAGGGGCGGAAGGCGAGACCCAGGCCCCUGCUGGGGGCCACGCCGUACCUGGCGUGCUGGAAGUACUCCUUGUGGUGGUUGCGGUAGAAGACGGAGAAGCGGAGCAUGCGGCCUGCAAUCUGCUCAGCCUUCUCCUGCAGCUGGGCCAGGUGCUCCUUGGCAUAAUCUGCAAGAGUCCCGGCUGGUAAGGGCCAGGCUGGGUAUCACAGCCUCAUGCCCCCACACUCACCCACUGCACACGGAGUAUGUCAGCCCACCUCCGUCCUCAGAGCAACAGGGGAUACCAAACAGUCACAGCACCUUGGACCACAUAGGAGCAAGCCAGGUGGCCCAGCUGGGAACAUGGACAGCUGGAUGCUGUUUGUCCUCAUCACCCCUGCACUCUCAUUGCCAGAGGCUCAGCUCUCUGAGUCAGAAAGGGGCAGGGGCUGCCCAGUUAGACAGUCAUGCUGGGGGCUCCAGGAGCUGUGAUCCCUGGCCAUCCUCAUGUGAAGAACACCAGCAAGCAAAAGAAGGAUUGAGAGGGAAGAAUUUGAGGUCCCCUAGGGGGAGCUCCCCAAAUCCAGCAGGUAGAAGGCCAUCCAUACCACCCGCACGGAAGCCAGUUGUCAUUAUAGGUAGGGGCUCACGAGGGGCCUGCUGAGCACUGACGUGAGUGGGUAGCCAGAGCAGGGUCGGAGGCAGUGACUGCUUCGGCAUCCUGGGAGAAGCAGGGAAGGCUGGAGACAGGAUGGUAAGACCAGACACUUCCCAGGGCCAGGACCAGCGUCUGGGGCCCUGAGGCUCAGGCAGGGCUGCUGCCAGCCAAGACAGGGCCUUUGUACAAAUUAGAAAAAGGUGCCCUUUCCUCCUUGCUGAUGCAGCCCUGGCCAGGGUGCUGGGUUUGGCAAGAGUAGUGGGAACUGGACUGCAGCCAUCCCCAGCUCCCCAGUUUGAAUUAAACUCCCACUACAUGUGGAGUUCUGGGGUAAACCAAGAGGCUUUUCCCGCAAGGAGUGGGAGCACCUCCAGAGUGGGGUUUUGCAUCCGAGCUAAGAAAAAGCACCGCUCGAAAAAGAAUGGCAACUCAAGGAGACUUAGGGCAUGGGCCUUGGCAGAGGAUGGAGCCAGCAGCCUCAGAGGCCCGGGGCUAGGAAUGUUCCCUGCCCCUUCCUUGUGACAGAGAGAGAUCUGGAGCGGUUCCCCCUGUGGACACCUAAAGAGUGGACUAUUUGUGGGGCAGAUCCUGGGUCAUCCAUUACCAGGUACACAUAAGCCUGGUGCUUGUUCAUACUGGAAUUUGCCAACUUAAUUCUGCGAAGAGGGUUUGCAGGACCCCUAAGUAGGGGUCAGGUUCCCAGGCUAAGUGGGGGCUCAGGAUGAGCAAAUGGGAUUAUUAUUAUUAUUACUUACUGACUGUCCUUCGACCUAUCAUGGAUAAACAAAGUGUGGUCUAUACAUACAACGGGGUAUUAUUGAGCCUUAAAAAGGAAGGACAUUCUGACACAUGCUCAACAUGGAUGAACCUUGAGGACAUGAUGCCGAGUGAAAUAACGGAACUAAUGCUCCAGUCACAGAAGGACAAAUGCUGCAUGAUCUCCCUCGCAGGAGCUACCGAGAGGAGUCAAAGUUACAGAGACACAAGUGAAAUGGUGGUUGCCAGGGGCUGAAGUGAGGAGGAGAGCUGUCGUGCAGUGGGUGUAGAGUUUCAGUUUGGGAAGAUGACAAAGUUCUGGAGAUUGGUUGCACAACCACUGUGAACGUACUUAAUACUACUGACCCAUACGCUUAACUGGUUAAAACGGGAAACUUUGUGUUAUGGGUAUUUUACCACAAUUCAAAACAGCAUGCUUGCCCCGAGCCCGAAAAGGAAGUGCAUCCCUGUUCGGAAGCGGUGUUGGCAGCCCAACUAGCAGUGAUGACGUCUGCCUCCCUCCCUCUCCAUGUCAGACUGUGGGCUUGGCGGGGGGCGGGGGCGGAUCUCAUUGGGGUGCCUCCCUGAUGGCCGAAGCAUGGUGCCCGCGUUCAGCAGGUGCUCAUAGCGUCUGCUGGGUUAAGACGCAGCCCCCUCCCGACCCUAACUAAGACCGAUGUGUCAGGGCGCCUGGGUGGCUCAGUUGGUUAAGCGACUGCCUUCGGCUCGGGUCAUGAUCCUGGAGUCCCGGGAUCGAGUCCCGCAUCGGGCUCCCUGCUCAGCUGGGGGUCUGCUUCUCCCUCUGACCCUCUUCCCUCUCGUGCUCUCUGUCUCUCAUUCUCUCUCAAAUAAAUAAAUAAAAUCUUUAAAAA